CCGCAUCUGUGCAUGCAGCAUAUCAAUAAGCGGAGGAAAAGAAACUAACAAGGAUUCCCCUAGUAACGGCGAGUGAAGCGGGAAGAGCUCAAAUUUGAAAUCUUAAAGGGUUUCCCUUUACGAAUUGUAGUUUAAAGAAGUGUUUUCUGUUGAGGUUUUGGUAAAAGUUCUUUGGAAUAGGACAUCAUAGAGGGUGAGAAUCCCGUAUUUGACCUUUACUUUCAACUUUGUGAUACACUUUCAAAGAGUCGGAUUGUUUGGGAAUGCAGUCCAAAAUGGGUGGUAAAUUUCAUCUAAAGCUAAAUAUUGGCGAGAGACCGAUAGCGAACAAGUACCGUGAGGGAAAGAUGAAAAGAACUUUGAAAAGAGAGUUAAACAGUACGUGAAAUUGUCAAAAGGGAAGCGUUUGACACCAGUGUUGUUUUUCUGAAAAUCAAUUAAAGAACUGUUUAUGCUAAGUUGUUUAGACUUUAUCAGCUAUCUGUUUAGUUUUGAGCUUUUCUUUAAUGCACUUUUCAGUUAACAAGUCAACAUCAAUUUCUUUUGCUGUAAAAAAGCUUGAGGAAGGUGGCUUGAGAUUCGUCUUAAGUGUUUAUAGCCUCUUGCCUAUGCAGUCGGAGAGAUUGAGGUCUGCAGCGUAGAUCCUUCGGGGCUAACUGCAUCUUGUGCUAAGUUAUAGCAUUUUAUAGACAACUUGUUGACUAUGAUUUGUCUUGUAGCUUACUCGCCUAUGUUAUUUUACCUACGCUUAGGAUGUUGAGUCGUAGAGCACGCAG
rnacentral:rRNA from 1 species